rfam:Candidatus Curtissbacteria bacterium RIFCSPLOWO2_01_FTLL_42_26 rifcsplowo2_01_scaffold_68495, whole genome shotgun sequence.
GGAGUUGUAGCUCAGUUGGUUAGAGCGUGUCGUUGACAUCGACAAGGUCACAGGUUCGAAUCCUGUCAACUCCA